UCCCUGGUGGUCCAGUGGUUAGGAUUUGGCACUUUCACUGCAGAGGCCUGGGUUCAAGCCCUGGUUGGGGAA
rfam:Ovis aries breed Texel chromosome 2, whole genome shotgun sequence.